UACAGGGGGGGCGAGCGUUGUUCGGAAUUACUGGGCGUAAAGGGCUCGUAGGCGGCCAACUAAGUCCGACGUGAAAUCCCCAAGCUUAACUUGGGAACUGCGUCGGAUACUGGAUGGCUUGAAUUCGGGAGAGGGAUGUGGAAUUCCAGGUGUAGCGGUGAAAUGCGUAGAUAUCUGGAGGAACACCGGUGGCGAAGGCGGCAUCCUGGACCGGCAUUGACGCUGAGGCGCGAAAGCCAGGGGAGCAAACGGG
rnacentral:rRNA from 1 species